rnacentral:rRNA from 1 species
GACGAACGCUGGCGGCGUGCCUAAUACAUGCAAGUAGAACGCUGAAGAGAGGAGCUUGCUCUUCUUGGAUGAGUUGCGAACGGGUGAGUAACGCGUAGGUAACCUGCCUUGUAGCGGGGGAUAACUAUUGGAAACGAUAGCUAAUACCGCAUAACAAUGGAUGACACAUGUCACUUAUUUGAAAGGGGCAAUUGCUCCACUACAAGAUGGACCUGCGUUGUAUUAGCUAGUAGGUGAGGUAAUGGCUCACCUAGGCGACGAUACAUAGCCGACCUGAGAGGGUGAUCGGCCACACUGGGACUGAGACACGGCCCAGACUCCUACGGGAGGCAGCAGUAGGGAAUCUUCAGCAAUGGGGGCAACCCUGACCGAGCAACGCCGCGUGAGUGAAGAAGGGUGUCGGAUCGUAAAGCUCUGUUGUAAGUCAAGAACGGGUGUGAGAGUGGAAAGUUCACACUGUGACGGUAGCUUACCAGAAAGGGACGGCUAACUACGUG